rfam:Ciona savignyi cont_22902, whole genome shotgun sequence.
UACCUGGUUGAUCCUGCCAGUAGUCAUAUGCUUGUCUCAAAGAUUAAGCCAUGCAAGUCUAAGUACGAGCUCUCGUACAGUGAAACUGCGAAUGGCUCAUUAAAUCAGUUAUGGUUCAUUUGAUCGUACAGUUUACUUGGAUAACUGUGGUAAUUCUAGAGCUAAUACAUGCGAGAAGCGCCGACCUCGCGGGAGGCGUGCAUUUAUCAGACCAAAAACCGGCCGCGUCUUCGGGCGCGUUCGCCUUGGUGACUCUGGAUAACUUUGCGGAUCGCACGGUCUAGCACCGGCGACGGAUCAUUCAAGUGUCUGCCCUAUCAACUUUCGUCGGUACGGUAUUUGCCUACCGAGGUUCUUACGGGUGACGGGGAAUCAGGGUUCGAUUCCGGAGAGGGAGCCUGAGAAACGGCUACCACAUCCAAGGAAGGCAGCAGGCGCGCAAAUUACCCAUUCCCGACGCGGGGAGGUAGUGACGAAAAAUAACAAUGCAGGACUCGUUCGAGGCCCUGUAAUUGGAAUGAGUACACUUUAAAAGCUUUAACGAGUAUCCAUUGGAGGGCAAGUCUGGUGCCAGCAGCCGCGGUAAUUCCAGCUCCAAAAGUAUAUAUUUAAGUUGUUGCGGUUAAAAAGCUCGUAGUUGGAUUUUGGGCGCAGGCGGCCGGUCCGUCGCAAGGCGUGUACUGGACGUCCUGGCCUUCCCUCCGGUUCUCCGCCGGUGCUCUUGACUGAGUGUCGGCGGCGGCCGGAACGUUUACUUUGAAAAAAUUAGAGUGUUCAAAGCAGGCUCUCGAGCCUGGAUAAUGGUGCAUGGAAUAAUGGAAUAGGACCUCGGUUCUAUUUUGUUGGUUUUCGGAGCGCGAGGUAAUGAUUAAGAGGGACAGACGGGGGCAUUCGUACUGUGCCGUUAGAGGUGAAAUUCUUGGAUCGGCGCAAGACGAACGACUGCGAAAGCAUUUGCCAAGAAUGUUUUCUUUAAUCAAGAGCGAAAGUCAGAGGUUCGAAGACGAUCAGAUACCGUCCUAGUUCUGACUAUAAACGAUGCCAACUAGGCGAAUCGGGGGGGCGUUACAUUGGACGACCCCUCCGGCAGCUUACGGGAAAC